rnacentral:rRNA from 1 species
UGAGGAAUAUUGGUCAAUGGCCGAGAGGCUGAACCAGCCAAGUCGCGUGAGGGAUGAAGGUUCUAUGGAUCGUAAACCUCUUUUAUAAGGGAAUAAAGUGACCCACGUGUGGGUUUUUUGUAUGUACCUUAUGAAUAAGGAUCGGCUAACUCCGUGCCAGCAGCCGCGGUAAUACGGAGGAUCCGAGCGUUAUCCGGAUUUAUUGGGUUUAAAGGGUGCGUAGGCGGCCCCAUUAAGUCAGCGGUGAAAGUCUGUGGCUCAACCAUAGAAUUGCCGUUGAAACUGGGGGGCUUGAGUAUGUUUGAGGCAGGCGGAAUGCGUGGUGUAGCGGUGAAAUGCUUAGAUAUCACGCAGAACCCCGAUUGCGAAGGCAGCAUACCGGCGCUCAACUGACGCUGAGGCACGAAAGCGUGGGGAUCGAACAGGAUUAGAUACC